rnacentral:lncRNA from 1 species
ACCUUGGUCCAACAAAUUGGCAAUGCACCAUGACUUGAAUCCAGAACCUUGAAUCCAGAAUCUCCCUCAGGGAGAGUAGGGUUGUGAUUGUGACUUCCAAGGCACUUCCUGUUCAUUGUUGUUACUUGUAAGGAAGAGGUAAUGAUGACUCAUAUAAAACUAAUCAUAUUCAUUCCAAAACAAAGUAGCAAACUUCCAAAGUAGACAAAUUGAUAAAAGUCACCUGACUAAACAGAAGACACAACCAAGAUAAGUGGAGCCAAAUUGAUAAAAGUCACCUGACUAAACAGAAGACUUUUGGGCAGAACAAUCAUUACUUGAUAAGUCACCAUAUUUAAAAGAAAUAAAAUUUGUUGUAAGGGUUUUAAGUAAGAGGUUUUUUCCUUUUUUCUGAGAGAGAGAGAGACCCAUCUAAGUUACAUCACCUUGGUCCAACAAAUUGGCAAUGCACCAUGACUUGAAUCCAGAACCUUGAAUCCAGAAUCUCCCUCAGGGAGAGUAGGGUUGUGAUUGUGACUUCCAAGGCACUUCCUGUUCAUUGUUGUUACUUGUAAGGAACAGGUAAUGAUGACUCAUAUAAAACUAAUCAUAUUCAUUCCAAAACAAAGUAGCAAACUUCCAAAGUAGACAAAUAUUUCCAUUUUUCAUUGUGAGAGAGUUUGCAAAACCUAGUAGUUGUGCUGGCACACUGUCAUAAUUGGUUUAAUAACUUUAUUUCAAAAAAGGGAUCUCAUCAAGCUGCAUGGAAACAAAUAUAUGAAUGUGAAAACAGACAGAUAUAAUUAAGUGUGAAAGGUGCCUUAAGUUUAAAUGUUAUUCUACUUCUACAAGAAUAGCAUAGAUGGAGAUGCUAAUGUUUACAUGUGGUGAUAUUAAUGAUGGUUGAAUUUAGUGUGUUAAAUUGUGUUGAACCUUUUUUUUUUGGUAGAAUUGUGAGGUUCACUUUAAUUGAGGAUGGAGAUCGGCAACAAAGUUAGAUGGCAUUGUCAUGUGCAAUGCAGAACAUUGACAAUUAUAGCUGGCAGGUGUGGAUGGAUGGAGAGAUUCUAUGGAUAGGAGGUAUCAGAAAGGAUUUGAGAUAGCUUGAAAUAACAAAGCCAGAUUCAUACAGCUGACAACAGAUGGAGUAAUUUGUGUCGAUACUUGUAUCAUAUCAAAUCCAAACCAUAUUAUCUAGGAGGGUCUCAGAUUUCUUUGAACAGUUGGAAAGCGAAGUGAGAGACGAGGGGAUCAAUGUCCAUGUAGAUCAAAGUUCUGCAAAGGGUUUUAAAAAUUUACUUCUGGCUGACAUAUGGCAUUAGUAGGAACGACAAAAGAUAAUUUACAAAGCCAGUUUAAUGUAUAGAUAAAUCAACAUUUCAAU